GACGAACGCUGGCGGCGUGCUUAACACAUGCAAGUCGAACGGAAAGGCCCUGCUUUUGUGGGGUGCUCGAGUGGCGAACGGGUGAGUAACACGUGAGUAACCUGCCCUUGACUUUGGGAUAACUUCAGGAAACUGGGGCUAAUACCGGAUAGGAGCUCCUGCUGCAUGGUGGGGGUUGGAAAGUUUCGGCGGUUGGGGAUGGACUCGCGGCUUAUCAGCUUGUUGGUGGGGUAGUGGCUUACAAAGGCUUUGACGGGUAGCCGGCCUGAGAGGGUGACCGGCCACAUUGGGACUGAGAUACGGCGCAGACUCCUACGGGCGGCAGCAGUGGGGAAUAUUGCACAAUGGGCGGAAGCCUGAUGCAGCAACGCCGCGUGCGGGAUGACGGCCUUCGGGUUGUAAACCGCUUUCGCCUGUGACGAAGCGUGAGUGACGGUAAUGGGUAAAGAAGCACCGGCUAACUACGUG
rnacentral:rRNA from 1 species